GGCCGUGGUGAGUUGACACACCCGAUCCCUCUGACCUCAGAGGUUAAGCAACGCGCAGUCCAGACAGUACUUGGAUGGGAGACCACCAAGGAAGACUGGAUGCUGUAGCCG
rnacentral:rRNA from 1 species